GUGCCCGCAUCGGCAGCACAUAUACUAAAACUGAAAGAGUAACGGAGAAGACUGUCAUGGCCCCCGCACAAGGGUGACACCCAAUUCAUGAAGCAUUCCAUAUAUUU